GCGUAUCAAAAGACAGUUUAUGAGGAAACAAAGCAGGUUAUUCCAGGUCCAUAAUCGUAAAACACGUGAAAGUUAAUAUUAUGCGGUUUCCAACCUGAUGUUCUAUCGAAUUUCGAGGCUCUUGUAGCAGAGGCUUGAAUUUAGGCUAGCCUGAAGGUUGUAUUUCUGGAAUCUACGAUGCAUAAGCUUUCUGUCGAUGCCUCAUUCGUGCAUCACUAGGCCGGAUCUGGAGGAAAAAAGCACUUUCUUUCCAGCUGUGUAAUCGAAUGGUGGUGUCUACGUCGCGGUCCGACUCUUCGUUACCGAGAUACGGACGGUAACUUAAAAAGGGCGUGGUCAAAUUUUUUGAUGACGUCAUUUUCUAAAUCAGAA